UAAUAAAACUGCUCCCUGCCUCCCCCAGUUGCCCGAAUCUUCUUCCCAGCAGGAAUGGAACUGCACUUUGGAGGCCUCCUGGCCACUAGUCAUUCCACCUGUUAGCCACUCCUGUCUUGCUGGGCGGUGCUUCGGCCUCCCACCUGAGUUCGUGCGUGAACCCACUGAAAUUGCCAACAGUAAGAAACAAAGACCAGUUGACUUUUAUUGGGGGGUCAGGGUGAGAGUUGGUGCGGCUACAAGCCUAUCUGGGUCUUCUGAGACCUUGGGUCCCCUAUUCCUGGUCCUUAGCGUCACCGUGUGUGAUGACAUAGCAGAUGUUCUUGUAGUCCACGUUGCCGCCCACAUCUGGAGGGAAGGCUGCCCACAUAUUCUUGAUCUGUAGGAAGACAGGAGUAGGUCUAAAACGGGUCUUCCGACUCCCACUGCUUUCCUCCCUUCCACUUACUUCCACUCCGAGUCCUUUUCCUCCCUGGGCUCUCCCCUGCUCACCUCCUCCUGGGAAAAUCGGUCGCACUGCGUGGUAAGCAGCUCCUCCAAGCUGAGAAGGUGACAUUCAGGGAGGUGAGAUUGGGUUCAUGAGUCCUGUCCCCCCUCAUUUCACUCUUGUUCCCAUCAACCUUCCUCCCUGAAACAUGUUUGGUGCAUCUCCCAAAUGCUGUGUCCGCCUGUCUCGAAUUUCUUCCCUUAGUUAUUAUGAAAAUGUAACCUGGGGGUUGGGGAUUUAGCUCAGUGGUAGAGCUCUUGCCUAGCAAGCGCAAGGCCCUGGGUUCGGUCCCCAGCUCCGAAAAAAAAAAAAAAGAAAAGAAAAGAAAAAAGAAAAGAAAAUGUAACCUGGCCACCCAGACCCCUAUUGCUCACACGGUCUGUCAACCGGUCACCCUUAUGCAAGGAUUUUAGAAGCCUACAGUAGAGCCACUAGAGGGAGCCACUCACAAUUGCUUUUUGAUGGUGCCCUUCCCUUCUGGGUCCAGGACCUUGAAGGCUCCAGUGAUCACAUCCUCGGGGUCCGCACCUGCAGGGUCAGAGGGCACAUGAGUCUAGCAAGUCCCUGAACUUCUGGGAGGAGCAACUACGGUCUUGGACUGAGAACCUUUUACUCACCCUUCAGCUUCUCCCCAAACAUGGUCAGGAAGACAGUGAAGUUGAUAGGCCCACUGGCUUCCUUCAUCAUGGCGUCGAGUUCCUCAUUCUUCACAUUGAGACGGCCUGAAUGGGGUGAGCACCAGGGGUUGCAGUUGGAUGCUGGGGACCAGAGCUGUGCUUUCCAUAAACUUAUAUCAGCUCAUUCAUUUUUCAUCUGGGCAGAUUAAUGCCUGAAGCCACUGGAUUCCCCUCCGACUCCAUAGCUUUCAACAUUUACAGAUGGGAGUAGGGAGCUCACCCAUGGCCGCAAAGGUGUCCCGAAGAUCCUCCUUGUCAAUAAUGCCAUCCCUGUUCUGAUCAAUUACAGUGAAAGCCUGUGGAAGGGUAGGGGUGGGGACAGAUGAAGCCAGGAAUUGGCCCAAGGCAGAUCAGAUUCUGGCCCUGAGCCAGCUGUCUCCCUCCACCCUUCCGCAGGGAGGGGAGGAAUUCUAAACCCUCCUUCUCCCUCAACAGGUGCACUUUCUGGGGAGGAGGGGUGGGGAGG
rnacentral:lncRNA from 1 species